rnacentral:lncRNA from 1 species
AAUAGCCUGGGCUAGCUGAUGAGUGAAUCCUAGGGAUCCUCCUAUCUCCACCUACUCAGCACUGGAGUUACAACAGUUCUGGGUAUCUGAACUCAGGUCCUCAUGCUUAUUUAGUAAGCAUUUUAUUGACAAAGUCAUCUCUACAGCCUCACACUAGUGAUUUUUCCUUAAACAAGAUGUGUGUAUGUGUAUGUGUGUAGUACAGGAUCCUGGAAACACAGAGAAGUCUGAGACAGCUCUCUGUCUUUGAAACACUCUGAUCUUCAUCACCCAUGAUGUCAUCUACAGCCUGGAUCACAGCCCUGAAAACUAUUGUUGAAAGAAAUCAUGUUCACCCACCUCAAGGCCAGUGUAAAACGGCUAAUUAACAACAAGGCAAGCAUGAGAGAGAACCAGUCUUCUGACUCAGUGUGACUUCUGUUAGCCCUGCCAUGAGUGCAAUGUCCAGAAUCAGUAACAGACAGCACUUUUCACAAGCUCCAUGUUAGAGCCAGCAAAGAAGACUUCUAUACAUGAAAACACCACAAAAAAUCCUGGAGAUCCUGUGUACAGACCUGCACUAUUGACAACACAUGGCAGAGCCACAUGAAGACAAGAUAGCAUUCCCAGAGUACAAUGUGACUACAAAGGCUGCUCCCAGCAGGCUGCUCUCUUCCUCAUCUAGACGUCCGAAGGCUACUCCUCAAGUUUCCGGCAUUGGCCCUGGUAGCCACCAAAUGAUACACCCACCUCAGAGGGCAUUCUUUUCUGGACAGCUGACUAUG